AUUUAUUUCAGACAAACAUCAGUUAUUCCUGUUGCAGUUUCCAAAAUUUUUUGCUGUUGAGCAAGCAGAAGAUCAGCAAAAAGAUUCUUUGCCAGAACAGAAAAAAAACAAAGCUAAAACAGGCUUAUCAGUUUUGCCAGAAGGUCAAAUUGGAAAACUUCAAGUGAUGAAAUCCGGACGCACAAGAUUACUAAUCGGAGAAAAUAGUUUCUAUUUAGACUUUUCCAAUUCCGUAAAAAGCAAAAAUGAGGUUGUAUCCAUACAAUUAAAUGAGAGUGAUAAAGAUAUCAUAGUCCUUGGGGAUAUAGAUCAUAAAGCAACUGUUGUACCUGAUGUAGAUAAACUUUUAGAAUCUAUAAGAUAACCUUUUUUUAAUUAAAUGUAGGUCUUAUUAGUUCACAAAAAUUUUAGUAGAUAAAGAUUUUAAUGCAACAUACUAUUCCUGUAGGUAUGUGAUUUUAAAAGUUCUACUCUUUAAAUAAAUUUCCUCAUUUGAGAAAAAAAUCCUCAAAAUAUUUUUUGCUAUUUUGUUGUACUUUUUAUAAAACUUGUAUCAAAUUUUAUAUUUUUUUAACAAAGGCCUCUUUUAAAAUGUCUUUUAAAAAAUCAUAAUUAUUAUAAAUCAAAAUUAUCAUAAUUUGUUUUCCAGGCUUAAGACUUUUUUCAAUUAUUCAUUUACAUCGAUGACAUCGUCAUUUUGUAUUCAAAGCCUUACAACCAUUAUUUAAUUUAUUUCUAAAUAAGUAACCAUUAAUUUAUUAUUUUAAUAUAUGAUUUUAUUCAAAAUUAAUUUUAAAUUUAAAAGAAGAAAGCUUAAAAAAAUUUAAAUUCAUCCUCAAAAUUUUAGACUGUUAUUGACUUUUUAUUUAUAUUGGCAUCUUCACCAUUUUUUUAAGGCCAUUAAUAUAAUUGUUAAUUAACAGCAUUCCAUUCUGCAUAUAUAGACGUGGUUUAAUAUUAAUAAUUAAACAUUAAUAUAGUUUCUAAAUGAUCUGAAAAUUAAUCAUACUCAUUUAUUUUCUAUUAUAAAUUAAAAAAACUUUUUAUACAAAUGUUUGCAUAUUUUUCUUGAAAUAAUUCAUUGAAUGAAUCUUCAUUUGAAUAAGCUAGAAGGUCUUAUUAUAAAAAAGAUGUUAUUUGUAUAUUCUUUUUUUUUAUGUAAAUAAAGGUGAAUUUUUUACAGUAA